CCUACGGGUGGCAGCAGUGAGGAAUAUUGGUCAAUGGACGGAAGUCUGAACCAGCCAUGCCGCGUGCAGGAAGACGGCUCUAUGAGUUGUAAACUGUUUUUGUACAAGGGUAAACCUGAAUACGUAUAAUCAGCUGAAAGUACUGUACGAAUAAGGAUCGGCUAACUACGUGCCAGCAGCCGCGGUAAUACGGAGGGUCCAAGCGUUACCCGGAUUUAUUGGGUUUAACGGGUGCGUAGGCGGAUUGAUAAGUCGGAGGUGAAAUGUCCGAGCUUAACUCGGGAACUGAAUUGAAUACUGUUGGUCUAGAGAGUAGAUGCGGUAGGCGGAAUGUAAGGUGUAGCGGUGAAAUGCUUAGAGAUCAUGCAGAACACCGAUUGCGAAGGCAGCUUAC
rnacentral:rRNA from 1 species